UGCAAUCCAGGAAGCCGUAAUUUUGGAGACGGGGAUUGGGAAAGUGAAUAUGAUUUAUGGGAAUGAUCAGGAUUUGAUGAUAUGCUUCUAUAAAUUUGUUGCAAGGAAAAGGCCUAAAGUAGCAGUACAUUAAAGAAGAAGAAGAAGAAGCAGAGGCAUAAGCACGCUCAAAAAUGAAAACAAGAGAAGCAGCAUGCGGAUUGGAAAAGGAGUGACGGACUCUCUGAUUAAAUAGGUUAGUGGAGAGAUGGCCUGUGCUGAAGCUGAGCUUGGACCCGAUGAGUUUAAUCAACAAAAUUUACAGGAACAGGUAGUGUCUAGCUAUAUUUUGGUGAGUUCGGUUGAAGGUUGCUGCAAAAUGGUGCAUGCUGGUUUUAUUUUUAUUUUCAGUAACUGGAGAUGCUAAAGCACAUGUUCAAAUUUCACCUGGAUGACCAAUCUGCAAUUCUUGAAAAGUUACACUAGCGGAUUCAAAAUGCUGUUUUUAUUAGUGAGGCAUCAGUUUUAUCAUCAGA
rnacentral:misc_RNA from 1 species